UAGGGAAUAUUGGUUAAUGGGGGAAACCCUGACGCAGCAACGCCGCGUGAGUGAGGAAGGUUUUCGGACCGUAAAGCUCUGUCGAGCGGGAAGAAAUGCAUGGUGGCUAAUAUCCAUCAUGCUUGACGGUACCGCUAAAGGAAGCACCGGCUAACUCCGUGCCAGCAGCCGCGGUAAUACGGGGGGUGCGAGCGUUGUUCGGAAUUAUUGGGCGUAAAGAGCGUGUAGGCGGCUGAAUAAGUCAGAUGUGAAAUCCCUGGGCUUAACCCAGGACGUGCAUUUGAAACUAUUCGGCUAGAGUAGGGGAGAGGAAAGUGGAAUUCCUGGUGUAGCGGUGAAAUGCGUAGAGAUGUGGAGGAACACCAGUGGCGAAGGCGCCCAUCUGGACGGUAACUGACGCUGAGACGCGAAAGCGUGGGGAGCAAACA
rnacentral:rRNA from 1 species